rnacentral:rRNA from 1 species
CCUACGGGUGGCAGCAGUGGGGAAUAUUGCACAAUGGGGGAAACCCUGAUGCAGCGACGCCGCGUGAGUGAAGAAGUAACUCGUUAUGGAAAGCCCUAUCAGCAGGGAAGAAAAUGACGGUACCUGAGUAAGAAGCCCCGUCUAACUACGUGCCAGCAGCCGCGGGAAUACGUAGGGGGCCAGCGUUAUCCGGAUUGACGGGGCGUAAAGGGAGCGUAGACGGCAGUGCAGGUCUGGAGUGAAAGGCGGGGGCUCAACCCCCGGACUGCUCUGGAAACUGGACGGCUGGAGUGCAGGAGAGGUAAGUGGAAUUCCUAGUGUAGCGGUGAAAUGCGUAGAUAUUAGGAGGAACACCAGUGGCGAAGGCGGCUUACUGGACUGUAACUGACGUUGAGGCUCGAAAGCGUGGGGAGCAAACAGGAUUAGAUACCCUUGUAGUC